AACGUAGCAGAGAAAGCCACCUGACAAUCUUCGGCACCUGUAGGCCGCUUUUUACUUACGAAGACCACAUUGUUUUGCUUUGCGGGGUAAAAGAAAUUGUCAUGGAUGGAAUAGAAGGUGCUUACCGUCCGAGGAGUGAAUCAAAUGAAGUGAAAAAUUUGAAUGAUUUUGAAGUUAAGAUUGCUCCUGAUGCAAUGAAUGGUUCGCACUUCACAAACGGUAAAGCAAAUAUGGCCGUCGAAGUCGACGAAGGAGCUGAAAACAAGGGUGAAAGUGCUGAUAAAGAUAAAAAGAGAAAGAAAGAGAAGGAAGAAAAACCACCAGCUGUACCAUUACUCAAACUUUUUCGAUUUAGUGAUAAAGUAGAUGUUCUGCUCAUGGUAUUGGGAACCAUAUCAUCAAUUGGCCAUGGUGCAGCUGUUCCUCUACAGUUCAUUAUCUUUGGUGACCUUAUCAACAGCUUCAUUAAUUUUGACAAAUUAAAAUCAGAUACCAACACAAAGCCAUUUGAUCUUGAAGGAGAGAUGACACAAUUUGCCUUGUACUAUGUCUAUUUAGCUAUUGGAAACAUGGUUGUUGCGUAUGGUCAGAUGGCAUUUUGGUCUCUUACUGCUACUCGACAAGUGAAAAAAAUGCGUUUAGCUUUCUUUCAAUCUGUCCUUAAGCAAGACAUAGGUUGGUUUGACACAACUGAUCCAGGAGAACUCAACAGUAGGCUCACUGAAGACCUCGACAAAGUAAAUGAUGGCAUCGGUCAGAAAAUUGGUAUGUUCCUUCAAGCCAUCACAAUAGUUCUUGUUGGCUUCAUUAUGGGAUUUGUUUAUGGUUGGAAAUUAACCCUUGUAAUAAUUGCUGUCAGCCCUCUUCUGGUUAUUGCAGGUGGACUUAUGGCAAAGAUGUUGUCUUCGAUUACAACCAAGGAGCUUGACGCUUAUGCUAAAGCUGGAAGCAUAGCAGAAGAGGUACUUUCAUCAAUCAGAACUGUAGCUGCCUUUGGAGGGGAGAGGAAAGAAAUUGAAAGAUAUUCAUCGCAUUUGGGAGAAGCCCGAGACUUUGGCACUAAGAAAGGUCUCAUGUCUGGUUUUGGCAUGGGCUUUUUUCAAGUCAUCAUGUUUGGCAGUUAUGCCUUGGCUUUUUGGUAUGGUGCAAAGUUAAUCAUUGAUGGAGAAAUGAAUGGAGGCGACCUGCUCAUUGUGUUCUUUUCAGUUAUGUUUGGAGCUAUGCAGCUUGGUCAAGCUGGUCCAAACUUUGAGUCCAUAGCAACAGCACAAGGAGCAGCAUAUAAAGUUUUUCUUGUUAUUGACAGGAUUCCUCCAAUUGACUCAAGUUCUGCUGAUGGUGAAGUGCUAGAUCACAGUUCUUUCAAGGGAAACAUACUUUUUAAGAACAUUGAAUUUUCCUAUCCAUCGAGACCAGAUAUAAAGACUUUAAAUGGCUUAGACCUGACUGUUAAAAGUGGACAGACUGUGGCAUUGGUGGGUGAGAGUGGCUGUGGAAAGAGUACAGUAGUGAAGCUUUUACAGAGGUUCUAUGACCCAAGUGGUGGUGAGGUAACUGUUGAUGGCUAUGACAUUCGCAAUUUGAACCUAAAGUGGUUACGUGAGCAAAUUGGUGUUGUGAGUCAAGAGCCAAUUCUUUUUGCCACCACAAUAGCUGAGAACAUCAGGUAUGGUAAAGAUGGUGUGACACAGGAGGAUAUUGAAAGAGCAACAAAGAUGGCAAAUGCCCAUGACUUCAUUCAAAGACUCCCACAAGGCUAUGAUACUCUUGUUGGUGAACGUGGAACUCAACUCAGUGGAGGACAGAAGCAGCGUAUUGCAAUUGCACGAGCUCUGGUAAAAGAUCCAAGGAUUUUGUUGUUAGAUGAAGCAACAUCAGCACUGGACAGUGAAAGUGAAUCGAUUGUACAAGCUGCUUUGGAUCAAGCUCGUCAGGGUCGAACAACCAUUGUGAUUGCUCAUCGUUUGUCAACAGUUCAGAAUGCAGAUGUUAUAGCUGCCAUACAGGGUGGUGUGGUGGUUGAGAAAGGAAGCCAUGAUGAACUCAUGCAGACUGAUGGAGUUUAUCACCAACUUGUCACAUUACAGACUUUUGAGGAGGACAAAGAGGACAAAGAAAUUGGUGAUAAUGAUAAUGAAACAGAGGACAUUGAGGAUAAAGAACAGACAGCAGCAGUGAACUUUAUGCGCAGCAUGUCCCAUAUGUCGAGUGACAGUGAGCAUGAAGACACUGAGCUUGAGAGGAAGCUCUCAAGAAGAGCAUCACAAAGAUUGUCUGCCAAGAGGAGGGGCAGUUCUGCAUUUGAUCGGCCAGCCUCUGCGAAGUCUGUGGGUAAGAAUGACAAAGAUGAUAAAGAGAAAAUUUUGGAGGAGGAAGUGGAGCCAGCUCCUGUGAUGCGUAUUAUAAAGUUAAACAAAACAGAAUGGCCAUAUUUGGUAUUAGGAAGUGUAGCCGGGGCCAUAAAUGGACUGUUCCCAUUUGCCUUUGCAUUGGUUCUGUCUGAAAUUCUUGAGGUUUUCACUUUACACGAUAAAGGUGAAAUGAAGAAGCAGUCGGAAUUCUGGUCACUCAUGUUUCUCGCCAUUGGUGUUGCAAGUUUUGUUGCAAAUGUUAUACAGAGUUUUAUGUUCGCAAAGUCAGGCGAACUGUUAACUUUACGCCUGAGAAAAAUGGCAUUUGAGGCCAUCCUAAGACAGGAUAUGUCGUACUUUGAUGAUCCGCAGCACAGUACUGGGGCAUUGACCACAGCAUUGGGAACACACGCCUCGGCUGUUCAAGGGGCCGCAGGUUCUAGACUCGGCACUAUUGCAAUGUCUUUGAGCACAGCUAUUGCCUGCCUUGUGUAUGCUUUUAUUAAUGGAUGGAAGCUGACACUCGUUGUUCUGGCGUUCAUCCCGAUACUGGUGGUUGCCAGUGCAAUUCAGAUGAGAGUGUUUGCCGGAGGUAAAGUUUCUAGUGAUGGUGAAGACGAUUUUGCUCAAUCUGGCAAGAUCGCAGUUGAAACUAUAGAAAAUAUCAGAACUGUGGCUUCACUGGGCAGGGAAACCACCUUCUAUAACGAUUACAGUCGAGCUUUGAUCGGCCCCUACAAAAAGGCAAUGAAACGGGCUCACUUACAAGGGGCUUCAUUUGGUUUAUCAGAGGCGUUCAUGUUCUUUGCUAAUGCAGUCGCUUUCAGAUAUGGGGGGUAUCUUGUGGUAAAAAGAGAGAUGGACAUGGAUGAAGUUAUGAAAAUUCUAUGGUGGGAACAAUCCAGUUACGCAGCGUACGUUUCCGUUAUCCGACGCGACAAAAUGUCAAAGUACUACGCGGAUUAACACUGUCAAUUCAGAGAGGACAAAAACUUGCUCUUGUUGGCUCCAGUGGCUGUGGUAAAAGUACAGUUGUUUCCCUCUUGGAGAGAUUUUACGAUGCUGAGGACGGAGAAGUGGCCAUCGACGGUAACAAUGUCCGAACUCUGAACAUUCAGUGGCUGCGCUCUCAUAUUGGUAUUGUGUCACAGGAGCCCAUAUUGUUUGGCUGCAGUAUCGCCGAUAAUAUCGCGUAUGGUGACAACUCCCGUCAAGUCAGUCAGGAU
rnacentral:misc_RNA from 1 species